CACGUAGGGCGCAAGCGUUGUCCGGAAUUACUGGGCGUAAAGGGCUCGUAGGUGGCCAACUAAGUCAGACGUGAAAUCCCUCGGCUUAACCGGGGAACUGCGUCUGAUACUGGAUGGCUUGAGAUUGGGAGAGGGAUGCGGAAUUCCAGGUGUAGCGGUGAAAUGCGUAGAUAUCUGGAGGAACACCGGUGGCGAAGGCGGCAUCCUGGACCAACACUGACACUGAGGAGCGAAAGCCAGGGGAGCAAACGGG
rnacentral:rRNA from 1 species